UAGGGAAUCUUCGGCAAUGGGGGCAACCCUGACCGAGCAACGCCGCGUGAGUGAAGAAGGUUUUCGGAUCGUAAAGCUCUGUUGUUAAGGAAGAACGAGUGUGAGAAUGGAAAGUUCACACUGUGACGGUAGUUAACCAGAAAGGGACGGCUAACUACGUGCCAGCAGCCGCGGUAAUACGUAGGUCCCGAGCGUUGUCCGGAUUUAUUGGGCGUAAAGCGAGCGCAGGCGGUUAGAUAAGUCUGAAGUUAAAGGCAGUGGCUCAACCAUAGUAGGCUUUGGAAACUGUCUAACUUGAGUGCAGAAGGGGAGAGUGGAAUUCCAUGUGUAGCGGUGAAAUGCGUAGAUAUAUGGAGGAACACCGGUGGCGAAAGCGGCUCUCUGGUCUGUAACUGACGCUGAGGCUCGAAAGCCAGGGGAGCGAACGGGAUUAGAUACCCCGGUAGUCCUGGCCGUAAACGAUGAAUGCUAGGUGUAGGAGGUAUCGCCCCCUCCUGUGCCGGAGUUAACGCAAUAAGCAUUCCGCCUGGGGAGUACGGUCGCAAGACUG
rnacentral:rRNA from 1 species